rnacentral:lncRNA from 1 species
GAUAUCAGCCACCAACUCACCGGCAUCCACCUCAUAAAUAUACCCCACCACCUUCUUCCCACGGACAGCCACCACCACCAUCAUUCUCACCACCUCCAAUUUCAUAUGGGCAGCCACCUCCGCCUCCAGUAUACUCUCCUCCUCCUCCAGCAUACUCCCCCCCUCCUCCUCCACCAAUAUAUUCAUCACCUCCGUCACCUGUAUACUCUCCUCCUCCUCCAGUAUAUUCUCCACCUCCGCCAUUACACUCUCCUCCUCCUCCAGUAUAUCCACCACCUCCGCCGCCAGUAUACUCUCCUCCUCCACCAGUAUAUUCACCACCUCCUCCACCAGUGUACUCACCACCUCCUUAUGACCGGUCACCACCUAGCUAUUCAACGCCGCCUCCUCACCAUGGACAGUCGCCUCCAACACCUCAUCAUCAC